CAAAGAGGAACCAUUCGGAUAUGGAAAUGAGGCCUCUUCAGCUAAACAUCUCCCUUCUUUGCCAUGCAAGACAGAAGCUCAAGUUGAGGCUCACGACGUCCAGUCAAAGGCCUCACACAACAUUUUUGCUCCUAUGUCAAAUCAGUUUAGUGAAGGUGAGUCAGCACCGGCAUCAAGAGACGCUGAAAGUGGCGUUGACGUCUCUGGGGCUUCCAGCUCCAAGCCACACAUCAGGCUUGGGAGUCCCCAGCGUAGAUUGGUGCCUGGAGGUGCAGGCCAACUGCAGCAGCACAUUCAUGAAGAACAUCCUGCUUCAGAACCCAACAGCUGCUCUAAACGCACCUCCAGUACAGGUAGUGGACUACAGCAGCUCUUUAAUGCUAUGCCUUCAAUGGAAAUAUCAUUUAAGUUCACAGACUGUGAACAAUCGUGUACCAGAGGAAAAUCAAUGCAAAAGCAUAUUCAUUCCAAGCAUUUGUGCAGAAAUAAACGCCAAUGCCAGAUUGGUUUGAAUUCAUGUGCCACUGAUGCUGAUCUUGAACAACAUAUUCUCUUGCGGUCUCCUCAGAGAAAGGCACAGAAAAGCUCUCGGAAUAAACAUGCUGAUGGUUGCAAAGAAAUACUCCAUAAACGUUGCCAUUCUAUACGUUCUUCAAUGAAAUAUACUUGCUCUGAGUGUGAUUAUGCUUGCACUAAAAAAUGGAACUUGAAAAGCCAUUUUCUUUACAAACAUUCAACAGAAAAACAUAUUCAGUGUUC
rnacentral:lncRNA from 1 species